GGAUCUUGGAGAUGCCGAAGUCCCCGAUCUUCACCACCAUCCGCUGCUUGUCCAGGAGGAUGUUCUGGGUCUUGAGGUCGCGGUGGAGGAUGAGCACAGUGUCCGGCACACAGGAGGCGAUUAAUAAAUGCUGGCCAAACGUCUGUCGUUUCGUUGCUUCCAUCUUCAGUUCCCAGAAUGUCUCGCUUCCAGAGCCCUCCAUCUCCCCUGCCCAGCUCGGAGGACCUCCGGGGAUCUUCUCCCGACUCUGGGAGGGAAGGACGCCUCCGGGCUCCCGAGGUGCGGGGAUGUGACUGCACAGCCCCCUUUUAAAUCCGACUCGCUUCGCGUCCCGGCAUCGCCUUCCAGAACCACGGACCAGACGCUGGCAGAGUGAAAUCUGGAUUUUAUUCUAUCCGACACUAUAGCUGUGUAACUGAAGCAGCUUCGAGAGGAAACGUGGUCCUGAGACCCCCGGGCUGGGCAGCACCUAGUGCCGCAAAUCCGAGAUAGUAACCCUUCAACUCCGCCUCUAAGCCCCCGCAGUUCUAUUGGAAGCCCUAAAAUGAGCGUAUCGGGGACAUGAAGCUCCUGAUCCUUUUCCUAUAAAUUUAUCUUCUUGUUUCUGGUUCUUUGUUAAAUCCUUUUGGAACUUGGCCCCCUCCCACUGGCGCUACGCUUGCAAUAAACUUUGCCCCUUGUCUUGAA